rnacentral:rRNA from 1 species
GAUGAACGCUGGCGGCGUGCUUAACACAUGCAAGUCGAACGGAAAGGCCAGUGCUUGCACUGGUACUCGAGUGGCGAACGGGUGAGUAACACGUGGGUGAUCUGCCCUGUACUUCGGGAUAAGCUUGGGAAACUGGGUCUAAUACCGGAUAGGACAACCUUUUGGAUAUUGUUGUGGAAAGCUUUUGCGGUAUGGGAUGAGCUCGCGGCCUAUCAGCUUGUUGGUGGGGUAAUGGCCUACCAAGGCGUCGACGGGUAGCCGGCCUGAGAGGGUGUACGGCCACAUUGGGACUGAGAUACGGCCCAGACUCCUACGGGAGGCAGCAGUGGGGAAUAUUGCACAAUGGGCGCAAGCCUGAUGCAGCGACGCCGCGUGGGGGAUGAAGGCCUUCGGGUUGUAAACUCCUUUCGCUAGGGACGAAGCUUUUUUGUGACGGUACCUGGAGAAGAAGCACCGGCUAACUACGUG